GACCUACUUGACUCAGCGGUUAGAGUAUCGCUUUCAUACGGCGAGAGUCAUGGUUCAAAUCCAAUAGUAGGUAA
rnacentral:tRNA from 1 species